rnacentral:rRNA from 1 species
GGGGAAUAUUGGACAAUGGGGGAAACCCUGAUCCAGCAAUGCCGCGUGAGUGAAGAAGGCCUUAGGGUUGUAAAGCUCUUUCGCCCGCGAAGAUAAUGACGGUAGCGGGAGAAGAAGCCCCGGCUAACUCCGUGCCAGCAGCCGCGGUAAUACGGAGGGGGCUAGCGUUGUUCGGAAUUACUGGGCGUAAAGCGUACGUAGGCGGAUGCGCAAGUUGGGGGUGAAAUCCCGGGGCUUAACCUCGGAAUUGCCCUCAAAACUGCACGUCUUGAGACCGAGAGAGGUAAGGGGAAUUCCUAGUGUAGAGGUGAAAUUCGUAGAUAUUAGGAAGAACACCAGUGGCGAAGGCGCCUUACUGACUCGGUACUGACGCUGAGGUACGAAAGCGUGGGGAGCAAACA